rnacentral:rRNA from 1 species
AGAGUUUGAUCCUGGCUCAGAACGAACGCUGGCGGCAUGCCUAACACAUGCAAGUCGAACGAGACCUUCGGGUCUAGUGGCGCACGGGUGCGUAACGCGUGGGAAUCUGCCCUUGGGUUCGGAAUAACAGUUAGAAAUGACUGCUAAUACCGGAUGAUGUCUUCGGACCAAAGAUUUAUCGCCCAAGGAUGAGCCCGCGUAGGAUUAGCUAGUUGGUGAGGUAAAGGCUCACCAAGGCGACGAUCCUUAGCUGGUCUGAGAGGAUGAUCAGCCACACUGGGACUGAGACACGGCCCAGACUCCUACGGGAGGCAGCAGUGGGGAAUAUUGGACAAUGGGCGAAAGCCUGAUCCAGCAAUGCCGCGUGAGUGAUGAAGGCCUUAGGGUUGUAAAGCUCUUUUACCCGGGAUGAUAAUGACAGUACCGGGAGAAUAAGCCCCGGCUAACUCCGUGCCAGCCGCCGCGGUAAUAC